rnacentral:rRNA from 1 species
AGAGUUUGAUCCUGGCUCAGGAUGAACGCUGGCGGCGUGCCUAAUACAUGCAAGUCGAACGGGUGUAGCAAUACAUUAGUGGCGAACGGGUGAGUAACACGUUGGUGACCUGCCCCAAAGAUGGGAAUAUCACUUGGAAACGAGUGGCAAAACCGAAUAAGCUUGUUCUGUUUAGAAAGGGACAAGUAAAAGCGAAAGCUACUUUGGGAGGGGCCUGCGGCCCAUCAGUUAGUUGGUGAGGGUAACGGCCCACCAAGACGAAGACGGGUAGGGGACCUGAGAGGGUGGCCCCCCACAAUGGAACUGAAACACGGUCCAUACACCUACGGGUGGCAGCAGUAGGGAAUAUUGCUUAAUGGGCGAAAGCCUGAAGCAGCAACGCCGCGUGAACGAAGGAGGCCUUCGGGUCGUAAAGUUCUUUUACAGGGGAUGAGGAAGGACAGUACCCUGUGAAUAAGUCUCGGCUAACUACGUGCCAGCAGCCGCGGUAAAACGUAGGAGACGAGCGUUAUCCGGAUUUACUGGGCGUAAAGAGCGUGUAGGAGGCAAUACAAGUUGGAUGUGAAAUCUCUUGGCUUAACUGGGAGAAGUCGUUCAAGACUGUAGAGCUAGAGUAUGGGAGAGGUAAUCGGAACUCCGGGAGUAGUGGUGAAAUACGUAGAUAUCCGGAAGAACACCAGAGGCGAAAGCGGAUUACUGGCCCAAGACUGACACUGAGACGCGAAAGCCAGGGUAGCAAACGGGAUUUAGAUACCCUGGUAGUCCACGCUGUAAACGAUGAAUACUAGGUGUGGGGGGACUGACCCCCUCCGUGCCGCAGUUAACACAAUAAGUAUUCCACCUGGGGAGUACGGCCGCAAGGUUGAAACUCAAAGGAAUUGACGGGGGCCCGCACAAGCAGUGGAUUAUGUGGUUUAAUUCGAAGCAACGCGAAGAACCUUACCAGGGCUUGACAUCCAACUAACGAAGCAGAGAUGCAUUAGGUGCCCUUCGGGGAAAGUUGAGACAGGUGGUGCAUGGUUGUCGUCAGCUCGUGUCGUGAGAUGUUGGGUUAAGUCCCGCAACGAGCGCAACCCCUAUUGUUAGUUGCUACGUAAGAGCACUCUAGCGAGACUGCCGUUGACAAAACGGAGGAAGGUGGGGACGACGUCAAAUCAUCAUGCCCCUUAUGUCCUGGGCUACACACGUAAUACAAUGGCGUCCAACAAAGGGAAGCAAAACCGCGAGGUAGAGCAAAUCCCCAAAAGACGUCUCAGUUCGGAUUGCAGGCUGCAACUCGCCUGUAUGAAGUCGGAAUUGCUAGUAAUCGUGGAUCAGCAUGCCACGGUGAAUACGUUCCCGGGCCUUGCACUCACCGCCCGUCAAG